GCCAGUGUGGCGUAGUGGUUUGAGCAUUGGACUAGGACUCUAGAGACCGAGGUUCGGAUUCCAGCUUAGCCA